GACGAACGCUGGCGGCGUGCUUAACACAUGCAAGUCGAACGGAAAGGCCCUGCUUUUGUGGGGUGCUCGAGUGGCGAACGGGUGAGUAACACGUGAGUAACCUGCCCUUGACUUUGGGAUAACUUCAGGAAACUGGAGCUAAUCCCGGAUAGGAGCUCCUGCUGCAUGGUGGGGUUUGGAAAGUUUCGGCGGUUGGGGAUGGACUCGCGGCUUAUCAGCUUGUUGGUGGGGUAGUGGUUUACCAAGGCUUUGACGGGUAGCCGGCCUGAGGGGGUGACCGGCCACAUUGGGACUGAGAUACGGCCCAGACUCCUACGGGAGGCAGCAGUGGGGAAUAUUGCACAAGGGGCGGAAGCCUGAUGCAGCAACGCCGCGGGCGGGAUGACGGCCUUCGGGUGGUAAACCGCUUUCGCCUGUGACGAAGCGUGAGUGACGGUAAUGGGUAAAGAAGCACCGGCUAACUACGUG
rnacentral:rRNA from 1 species